UGUCAUGCCCAGAAGAGAGUUAUUAGCUCUCAGGUGGCAGCAGAAGCCAGGGGGUUGAACCAAAUCACACAGAAAGAUUGGAUGCUGUGAGAAAAUAAGGCCACAGAUGAAGUCAUAAUGAAUCCCAACAUUUUAUGACAUGGACCCAGGAACAGAAGACCGCAAAGUGGGCUGGGAUCUGUGAGCCCAGAAAAGCAACGUUCCACCAAAGUCAAGGGAGGCUGGAAUGUCAAAUUGGAGGUGUCUAGGAGUGUCAAAUAUUGCAGAAGGUGUUAAAAAGGACCGAAAAGUGUCUGCUGAGAUUUGCUAUCCAGAAGGCACAGCUCAAAAUGGCCUCUGCAGAAUAAAUGGAAUGAGCUAGGUGUGGAACUCCAG
rnacentral:lncRNA from 1 species